rnacentral:rRNA from 1 species
GCCUGCUCUGUGAUAAUUUUUUAACGGCCGCGGUAUCUUGACCGUGCGAAGGUAGCGUAAUCACCUGUCUUUUAAAUGAAGACCUGUAUGAAAGGCAUCACGAGAGUUUAACUGUCUCUACUUCCCAAUCAAUGAAAUUGAUCUUCCCGUGCAAAAGCGGGAAUAAUUACAUUAGACGAGAAGACCCUAUGGAGCUUAAAACACUUAAAUUAAUUAUGUAAUUGCAUUAUAUUCCAAGGACAUAAACAAAUAAUACAAUAUUCUUAAUUUAACAUGUUUUUGGUUGGGGCGACCAAGGAGAAAAACAAAUCCUCCUUAUCGACUAAGUAUUACUAUACUUAAAAACUAGAACCACAGUUCUAAAUGAUAAAACAUUUAUCGAAAAAUGACCCAGGAUAUCCUUAAACCUGAAUAAUGAACCAAGUUACCCUAGGGAUAACAGCGCAAUCCUUUCCCAGAGUUCCUAUCGACGAAAGGGCUUACGACCUCGAUGUUGGAUCAGGACAUCCUAAUGGUGUAACCGCUAUUAAGGGUUCGUUUGUUCAACGAUUAAUAGUCCUACGUGAUCUGAGU